rnacentral:rRNA from 1 species
CCUACGGGUGGCAGCAGUCGAGAAUCAUUCACAAUGGGGGAAACCCUGAUGGAGCGACGCCGCGUGGGGGAAUGAAGGCCUGCGGAUUGUAAACCCCUGUCAUGGGGGAGAAAAUUAAAAAGAGAGUACCACAAGAGGAAGAGACGGCGAACUCUGCGCCAGCAGCCGCGGUAAUACAGAGGUCGCAAGCGUUGUUCGGAAUCACUGGGCGUAACGCGUGCGUAGGCUGUUUCGUAAGUCGUGUGUGAAAGGCGCGGGCGCCACCCGCGGACGGCACCUGAUACUGCGAGGCUAGAGUACUGGAGGGGGUACCGGACUUCUCGGUGUAGCCGUGAAAUGCGUAGAUAUCGGGAGGAACACUCGUGGCGAAGGCGGGUUCCUGGACAUUAACUGACGCUGAGGCAC